UCAGAUGGUAGUGAACUCAUGGGUC
rnacentral:piRNA from 1 species